AGCGAACGCUGGCGGCAGGCCUAACACAUGCAAGUCGAACGGACCCUUCGGGGUUAGUGGCGGACGGGUGAGUAACACGUGGGAACGUGCCUUUAGGUUCGGAAUAACUCAGGGAAACUUGUGCUAAUACCGAAUGUGCCCUUCGGGGGAAAGAUUUAUCGCCUUUAGAGCGGCCCGCGUCUGAUUAGCUAGUUGGUGAGGUAAUGGCUCACCAAGGCUACGAUCAGUAGCUGGUCUGAGAGGAUGACCAGCCACAUUGGGACUGAGACACGGCCCAAACUCCUACAGGAGGCAGCAGUGGGGAAUCUUGCGCAAUGGGCGAAAGCCUGACGCAGCCAUGCCGCGUGGAUGAUGAAGGUCUUAGGAUUGUAAAAUCCUUUCAUCGGUGAAGAUAAUGACUGUAGCCGGAGAAGAAGCCCCGGCUAACUUCGUGCCAGCCGCCGCCGUAACAC
rnacentral:rRNA from 1 species